CUGCUGCCUCCCGUAGGAGUUUGGGCCGUGUCUCAGUCCCAAUGUGGCCGUCCACCCUCUCAGGCCGGCUACUGAUCGCUGCCUUGGUGGGCCGUUACCCCGCCAACUAGCUAAUCAGACGCGGAUCCAUCGUAUACCACCGGAAUUUUUCACACUGCCCCAUGCGGAGCCGUGCGCUUAUGCGGUAUUAGCACCUAUUUCUAAGUGUUAUCCCCCGGUAUACGGCAGGUUAUCCACGCGUUACUCACCCGUCCC
rnacentral:rRNA from 1 species